GGCGGCCUAGUGGUUUAGAGCGUCUGCCUCGGAUGCGGGAGGUCUUGGAUUCGAACCCUAGCCGAGUCA